UCCUCCCUCUCUGAAAGGCAUCAGAAGCGGCCGCAUCGAUGACGAUCAUAUUCAAACUCGGAAGCUUUUCUUCAUCCCACCCGUCGCCGUUGUUGUUCACCACCACCAGAAACGGAGGCGCCUGCUUCUGCUGGUCUCUCUUUCCUUUUUACUCUGCUUUCUCCUCUUCGUCGUCAGAAUCCUCGGAGCCGAACGGGAGAGAACGAUGAGAUGGUCGCGAUGAUGCCCUAAAUCCAAACCCCUUUCUCCUCCCAUGGUGGGAUCUGGGAGCCGCCGCGGAGGAGGCGGCAGCGGUACCGCCACGGGGCUUCCGCCUACGCCGACGUCAUCGCGACACAGGUCGCUGCUCGCCUGGACGACUACGCCGAGGUCUUCGGCGACCUCGCUGGCUCGUGCUCCAUUCCGCUUUUCGACCUCCCGCCGGCUGCGGACGGCUGGUCUUCGGGGGCUUGGCCUUUGGAGAGUUCGUGGCUCCUUACGAGGAGAUGUUUGCGGUGUCGAAGAGAGGAGGCGUAUUCUUCGAAUGGAAGGAGUGGCUUUGGUGAACCCCACAUUCGCCCUUUUCAUUUGUUUCUAUGGUAGUUUAUGAGUUGAUCUUUUGAUGCUUACCGCUAAAAGUUCCUUUCUCUAUGUGUUCUGACGAUGGAGAUCUGGUGAGCUUUACUGCCGGACUAUAUUAGCGUUGGUUGCUGGCAUCAUGCUUGGGUUCCAAGAAUUUUGCUGCCAGAAGAGAAGCGUCACCACUAAGUUAAUGACUGAACAACAAGGUUUAGGGAUAGUAGAGAGAGAGAAGCAUACGGCUGUGUACGUGUGAUAAGAAGGAAGGCUACGUCAGCAUUCCUUCGUGCUGUGAGAUGUGGAACGUACCUGAAGAUUAAACAGCUAUUCCAGCAAGAGGUGUCUUUGUCUCUUCCACGCAUGAUUGCAGAAUAGAUGUCUUUGAUCUUCUCCGAGUGGGAAGCUGCGAUUAGCCGAUCAUCUCUCCAUCGGAACAUGGCCAGCCAGCCAGAUCUACCUGCAGCCUAAGGAAUUCGCUGAUUUGGCAUGCAUCCAUGUUUACGAUGGCAUAACAUCUACAUACAUCAGUUUACAUUCUCUUCUUUAGAGCAAAUUUGAUCGGUUGGAGUUCUUGAUCAA